GGAACUGCAGCCCCCAUGAUGCACCGCGGCUCCUCUCGCGCUGUGGGCGCCAAGGGCUCGGGGCGGCCGUUGGGCGGCUGAGGGGCGGUGCGGAGCCGAGCUCGCCUCAGGGCGGGGCUGUGCGCACACACGCAGCCGGCGCUUCACGGACCGCCUUUCUUUCUUUUUUUUCUCUUUUUUUCUCUCUUUUCCUUUCCCCCCAGGUAGCCGUGUUUCCACAAGGCGGCGCUGCAGCGCGAAAUCCCAGAAAUCUGGGCCCUCAUCUCCUCCUAGUUCCGUGAAGGCAGCUUAAACGCCGACAAAGCCCGCCUGCGUUUGCUGGGCAAAUAUCCGUAGAAUUAGAAAAGUCUUAGGUUUUGACCUGAAGCACACGUUAAAUAAAGCAGGAGAGAGGUUUAGGUUCUCUGUCAGAAAGGUGCCACGUUGCUAUGCUAAGCCAUGGAGGGGCAGCAGAGAAACCCUCCCUUCCUUUUGGAGAAGGACAGGAGGUUUCUGGAGAGCAUUCGAGGAAACAUAUUGACAGAAACUGAAAAAGUGGGCUGUGCUGAGCCAGGGCCCUCUGAGGAGCGCUACAUUAUAUACAGUAACGCUUUUGACAAGAUAAUAGAGUAUGUUAGUGCGUACAAGAACAUCCUGACUUCAAUCAAACAGGAAUAUGAGGCAUUUAUUACAAGAAUUAAGAAUGGCCAAAGGAAUGUGUUUUUUCUUCGUGGGAGAUUAAAAGCUCUGGAAUCUGAGUCCACAGCUCUGUUAUACUAUAGGAAAAGAGCAAUGGAGCUUGAAGACAAAAUAAAAGCCAUUGAGAAGAAUUCUGCAAAAAUUGAAAAUGAAAUAUUAAAAAUUCAAAAUAUAGGAAAGGUGUCCUCUGAAACCUUUGGCACACAAGAAAAAACAGUACAUCCCGCUAAACCCAUCCCAGCUCUUGAUGUCCCUAGUAAAAUGGCUGAGGAUUCACUUGAAUAUUUUGAAAGUUUCAGUGAAUUAUUUUCAAGUGGUCAGUAUGAUGCUGCAGCAACUUGUGCAAUAAACUCUCCUGGAGAAAUUCUCUGUAAUGAAGAGGCUCUAAAGAAUCUUAAAUCUCUUAGCUGUCUUGAAGGAAGAAAUCUGCCUUUGCUGAAGUAUUUUGACACUCUCAUAAAUGCAAGUACUGCAGCUGGACGCCUUCCAAAUUUACCUGUAACUCUGGAAGCAAUUAAAUGUGCGUUGUCUGAAAAGCAAUUAAACCUGGUAAACCAUUGGGUUACACAGCAGAGGCUAACUUUUUCUGAGGCAGUGGGAGACCUUAUUUAUGAUUAUGGGAAAGAGGAGCCAAACAACAUGUUGGAAUGCCUGGCUUUGGCUCAGGCCGCGUAUGGUCAUUCUGGUGCAUACAAAAAAGUUGCGUUGUGCCUGUGUAAACAGGGCCGAAUUGCUGGAGCAGUGGAUUAUAUUCAGCAAGUGGAACAUUUUUCUUUAGAUGAUUACUUCUUCUUAUUGGAAAACUGUCCUAGCACUGCAUUAAUUCGCUGUCUCAGUCAACAGUGGAUUAGAAAACCACCGUUUUCAUCUAUGGGGGCUACAAUCCUGUCUUUUAUCUCGACUGAACACAAAAAGCAUGGCUUUCAGCUGUUGGAGGAAAUGAACAAUAAAACCAUUUUUACUGUGCAGGGAUGGUUUCUAGCAAGGCCUGAGUUGGUUGGUAUGCUGCAUUCACCUCCCUCAAAUGCAGACCUGACAAAGCUGUUAAGCAGCUCGGCAUCGUAUGCCUUCCUAAAUUAAUUUGUAAACCAGCAAGUAAUGCAUCAAAUUGAGAACACCCGUUGCUUUGUGUGAGAACUGAAACUGUCUGGAGGUUGGCUGUGGGAAGAAGUGUCUGCAUUACUGGUGACGGAGGAAAAGCAGCACUGCAGGAUUCCAGAGAGGAAUGGCCAUGGCAGGAGGAAAAAAUCCCUUGUUCCAGACGCAGCUUCACUUUAAACAUAGUGACUUGUCUGAAACAAAUGUAUACGGCUUUCCAGUCACCAGACACUAAAGAAGCAGCCUGAGCAGACUUUGUCCCCAAAGCUACAGUUCGGGGAAGCAUACAGGAAAGUUCCAAAGAAAGGAAACUGCUCAGUGAGUGCCUUUGGAGAAGGAGGCUGUCCAGCGAC